UUGCCUUUGAUAAACACCAUAACAAUAGAUAACGAUAGAUUGACACUUGGUCUCUGUGGAUUCGACAAUCUUUUAUAUCACUCUGACGCGUUCGUAUACUUGCGAAAAGCACGCAUCAAUAAUCCCUAAACUCGUUGGGUUCUCUUAUCUGUCACUACCCUAAUGUGACACUUACAUUGCAUCUAAAAAAAACUUUUAGCAUACCUUCAAAAUAAAAAAUAAAACAAAAAAUAUUUUUGCAUUUUCAUGCAUUUGCAUACAUACACAUACAUUUGCAUAUUCUU
rnacentral:lncRNA from 1 species